rnacentral:sRNA from 1 species
AUGACAGAAGUCCUCUCCUGAUCCAUAGAACAGGGACAGCAUAGACAGUAGCAGUGUACCCUUCCCCACGUUGUUCCAUGAAUGUUCCACACCUCUAAUCUGAGGGGAUCUACCCCACAGAGUGACAGUAUUUAGUUUCCACAAAGAAUCAGUCCUUGGCCUCU